UGAUGAUGGUGAGGGAAAUUUCUGAGCAUACUUUUAAAUCUAUUCCAAGCUUGGUAGAUAUUCUCUCCCUCUUUUUUUGUGAAACUCAAAAUCUUGCUUCUCAAGCA
rfam:Capsicum annuum cultivar Zunla-1 chromosome 11, whole genome shotgun sequence